AUUGAACGCUGGCGGCAGGCCUAACACAUGCAAGUCGAGCGGGGUUUUCGGACCUAGCGGCGGACGGGUGAGUAAUGCGUAGGAAGCUACCCGAUAGAGGGGGAUACCAGUUGGAAACGACUGUUAAUACCGCAUAAUGUCUACGGACCAAAAUGUGGGACCUUCGGGCCACAUGCUAUCGGAUGUGCCUACGUGGGAUUAGCUAGUUGGUGAGGUAAUGGCUCACCAAGGCGACGAUCCCUAGCUGGUUUGAGAGGAUGAUCAGCCACACUGGAACUGAGGCACGGUCCAGACUCCUACGGGAGGCAGCAGUGGGGAAUAUUGGACAAUGGGCGCAAGCCUGAUCCAGCCAUGCCGCGUGUGUGAAGAAGGCAUUCGGGUUGUAAAGCACUUUCAGUAAGGAGGAAGCGUUGAGUGUUAAUAGUACUCAGCGUUGACGUUACUUACAGAAGAAGCACCGGCUAACUCUGUGCCAGCAGCCGCCGUAAGAC
rnacentral:rRNA from 1 species